rnacentral:rRNA from 1 species
UACGGAAGGGGCUAGCGUUUUUCGGAAUUACUGGGCGUAAAGAGCGCGUAGGCGGCUUACCAAGUUGGGGGUGAAAUCCCGGAGCUCAACUCCGGAACUGCCUUCAAAACUGGAAGGCUCGAGUCCGGAAGAGGGGCGUGGAAUUCCCAGUGUAGAGGUGAAAGUCGUAGAUAUUGGGAAGAACACCGGUGGCGAAGGCGGCGCCCUGGUCCGGUACUGCCGCUGAGGCGCGAAAGCGUGGGGAGCAAGCAGG